AUAUCCAAUUCCCAGCCACUUCUCAAAUUCCCUACCCGACCCAAAUCCUUGUCUUCUACACAAAUAGAGAAUCCAAUUUUCCAGCAGCAAAAUAAUACGUACAGACCCAUUCUCCAAAACAACCAAGCGAUUUCCAAUUCUUCCCUCAGAUCGCGACCCUUACACGUUUCUUCCUCUUCUCCAGACGCGAACCAGAGCGUUAUUCCAGCCGCGUAGCGCAUUGUCUUCUCCCUCUCUGCUUAUCCAUUUGUACGGAAUCCAGGUGUCGAGAUCUCCCAUUUCCUUUGUCCUCUCUUCAGAAAUCGAAUGGCUGCAAUUUUCAGUCCGUUGGACAGUUGUACAAUUUUUCGAGCUGGCAUCGGGAACUCAAAUUUCGAGUUUUGAAUUCACCCCUUUGCUUUACCCGAUUUCCCCCUUUUUUGCGCUUUAGUUUCAUCUAUAAAUAACAUCUUCUUCUUUAUUUUUAAGUGAGGUAGAGAAUACUCAAAUCGGUUUCUUUAGAACCCGAAGAGAGUUGGAAAAAUAGAAGAAAAACGGGGACGUUAGAUAAGUGAGGUACAGAAUACUCAAAUCAGUUUCUUUUUAGAACCCGACACUCUUGUUUCUUGGAGUCACACUUUGGUGGGGGGAACUCUUUCCCGUCUCAGUUCAGCUGCCCAGAAAAAGCAAACGUACCGUCGUCUUCAACUCAAC
rnacentral:lncRNA from 1 species